GCCAGGCAUGGUGGCGCAUGCCUGUAAUCCCAGCUACUCAGGAGGCUGAGGCAGGAGAAUCGCUUGAACCCAGGAGGCAGAGAUUGCAGUGAGCCAAGAUGGCCCCUGCACUCCAGCCUGGGUGACAGCGAGACUCUGUCUCAA
rnacentral:SRP_RNA from 1 species